UACGUAGGGCGCAAGCGUUGUCCGGAAUUAUUGGGCGUAAAGAGCUCGUAGGCGGCCUGUUGCGUCCGCUGUGAAAAUCCCGGGGGCUCAACCCCCGGGCGUGCAGUGGAUACGGGGCUGGCUGGAGGCAGGCAGGGGAGAACGGAAUUCCUGGUGUAGCGGUGAAAUGCGCAGAUAUCAAGUGGAACACCAGUGGCGAAGGCGAGUCUCUGGACAUUUUCCUGACGUGAGGGCACGAAAAGCCCAGGGGGGAGCAAAACGGGGAUUAGAAAACCC
rnacentral:rRNA from 1 species